CCUACGGGAGGCAGCAGUGGGGGAUAUUGCACAAUGGGGGAAACCCUGAUGCAGCGACGCCGCGUGGGCGAAGAAGUAUUUCGGUAUGUAAAGCCCUAUCAGCAGGGAAGAAGAAAUGACGGUACCUGAGUAAGAAGCACCGGCUAAAAACGUGCUAGCAGCCGCGGUAAUACGUAUGGUGCAAGCGUUAUCCGGAUUUACUGGGGGAAAAGGGAGCGAAGGGGGCACGGCAAGCUGGAGGUGAAAGCCCGCGGCCAAACCGCGGGACCGCAUUGGUAACUACCGGUCUGGAGUGCAGGAGAGGUAGGCGGAAUUCCUAGUGUAGCGGUGAAAUGCGUAGAUAUUAGGAGGAACGCCAGUGGCGAAGGCGGCCUACUGGACGGUGACUGACGCUGAGGCUCGAAAGCGUGGGGAGCAAACAGGAUUAGAUACCCCAGUAGUC
rnacentral:rRNA from 1 species